rnacentral:lncRNA from 1 species
GGAAUCACACCAGCCUGUGUCCUGCAGCCUCUGCUUCCCUUUCCCUACUCCCAGGAAACUGGGCUUUCCACACACCCAGCCCUUCAGUGGUUUGAGAAGACCUUUUAUGAUUUAUCUUUUUUUUUUAUUAAACUUGUGGAUUGUGGCAGGAGCUCAGAGCUUGCAGGAAACCUUGGUUCAGAGCUCCUGGACUCACCUGGAACCACUCUGCUAAAUAAUAAUAACAACUAACAAUUGUCCAGUAAUGCCAGGCUGCCAACAGGCCCCCUGUUAAAAUCCAGUUUGGUGGCAUCUUCUGAAAUCCCUUCAGAAGUGAAUUCUCUGCACUGAAGAUCCUCGUGUUCCAUUGGCCCCACGCUGGAGGGGUUUAUUUAAAUACAAAUUGAAUCCUCCCACUGGAAAGCUAAACAGGAGAUUAAAAUAGCUGCCAGGGGAUGGGGAAUUUGCUUUAUGAAGAGUCAUUUGACUCAACUUCUUGCUGAUUUCCCCAUUUUUCUUGUUUUAUGGCUAGAGAUGCGUUGGAAUUGUUGCCUGUCCCAGCCAGCAGGGAUGAACCUGGUCACUGUGGGGCUCAAAUUUAACCCCCCUCCAGUCACCUCUGGCACUGGCACUGCUCCAGGGAAGUGGCCACUGGAGAACUGAUGUGGAAACAAGACUUUUCCAGCUCUGGAAGUUCGUUCCCAGCCCCGGCUGCUCCCGGCGCCGCUCGCAUCCCUGGAGGCGCUCGGAAGGGGAUGCUCGGAGGGCACCGGGCAUUUUUGGGGUGAAGUCGCGGCGGGUUCGUGGCCAUGCUCCGCCCGGACUCGGUUUCCCCGGAGCUCCCCCAAAUCCCGUAUUUGGAGCCUUUCUCCCAGCCCAGGCCCUGGCAGGGACGGGGGUGUGCCGUGACCUCUCCCCAGCUGUGAUCUGGCCCAGGCUCUUCCCAUUCCCUCCGCAGGGAUGCAGCCGAAACACAGAGUGACGGGAGCUCUGGAAACACAACCCGGGAGAGGCUGCGGGGCUUGAAAAAGCCCUUCUGGGUUUGUGACUCGUGCAAAAAAGAGAAGCUGUUCGUGCAGAGGCAGCUUUGAGGGGCGAGGGGAGGGACGCAGGUUGGGCAUGGCAGUCGAGGGGAUCGGUCCUGCAGGUUG